AACGAACGCUGGCGGCAUGCCUAACACAUGCAAGUCGAACGAAACCUUCGGGUCUAGUGGCGCACGGGUGCGUCACGCGUGGGAACCUGCCCUUAGGUUCGGAAUAACUCCCCGAAAGGGGUGCUAAUACCGGAUAAUGUCUUCGGACCAAAGAUUUAUCGCCUUUGGAUGGGCCCGCGUUGGAUUAGCUAGUUGGUAGGGUAAAAGCCUACCAAGGCGACGAUCCAUAGCUGGUCUGAGAGGAUGAUCAGCCACACUGGGACUGAGACACGGCCCAGACUCCUACGGGAGGCAGCAGUGGAGAAUAUUGGACAAUGGGGGAAAGCCUGAUGCAGCAAUGCCGCGUGAGUGAUGAAGGCCGUAGGGUUGUAAAGCGCUUUUACCCGGGAUGAUAAUGACAGUACCGGGAGAAUAAGCUCCGGCUAACUCCGUG
rnacentral:rRNA from 1 species